rnacentral:rRNA from 1 species
UACGGAGGGUGCAAGCGUUGUUCGGAAUUACUGGGCGUAAAGCGCGCGUAGGCGGCCUUUUAUGUCAGGUGUGAAAGCCCUCGGCCUAACCGAGGAAGUGCGCCUGAAACUGGAAGGCUUGAGUACGAGAAGGGAGGACGGAAUUCCCAGUGUAGAGGUGAAAUUCGUAGAUAUUGGGAAGAACACCGGUGGCGAAAGCGGUUCUCUAGAUCGAUACUGACGCUAAGGCGCGAAAGCGUGGGGAGCAAACAGG